UAGGGAAUCUUCGGCAAUGGGGGGAACCCUGACCGAGCAACGCCGCGUGAGUGAAGAAGGUUUUCGGAUCGUAAAGCUCUGUUGUUAAGGAAGAACGAGUGUGAGAAUGGAAAGUUUAUGCUGUGACGGUACUUAACCAGAAAGGGACGGCUAACUACGUGCCAGCAGCCGCGGUAAUACGUAGGUCCCGAGCGUUGUCCGGAUUUAUUGGGCGUAAAGCGAGCGCAGGCGGUUAGAAAAGUCUGAAGUGAAAGGCAGUGGCUCAACCAUUGUAGGCUUUGGAAACUGUUUAACUUGAGUGCAGAAGGGGAGAGUGGAAUUCCAUGUGUAGCGGUGAAAUGCGUAGAUAUAUGGAGGAACACCGGUGGCGAAAGCGGCUCUCUGGUCUGUAACUGACGCUGAGGCUCGAAAGCGUGGGGAGCGAACAGG
rnacentral:rRNA from 1 species